ensembl:lncRNA
CCUUGCCUUGACGAGAGAGGAAUCUGCACAAUUAUUAGUUUGUGGCAAGGGUUGGCAGAUUAUGACAAAGAGAGAAUUGUGUACUCAGCACACCAUCAGUCCUCUCUCAACAAAGGGAGGUUUAGGGCAACCAAAAAAAUCGUAGCACCAGGAGUAGAGAGUACCAGAAGAUGUUUUGUUGGAGCAAACAGACCUGCACAGUGGCCUGACGGCUACAGAAUUGUUGAGGCAGCUUUUGUAAAACUCUGCGCUCUCUAUCCUAACCCUGUACAUCAAGGAGGGGUUAAAAUCUCACAAUUGAACUUCAUUGUAUGUGCCUACAAGCAUAUCAGAGAGUGCAUCCUGAGUUACGCUGAAGUGAUGCAGCAGACCACCCUCCAAUUACCUGAGGUCAAUGCAGCUACACUUACACAAUGGUACAGCAGACGUACAAAAUCUAACGAGAGGGAAAUUUUGACGCAAGGAAUUCAUACACCAGAUGCACCAAUGACAGCACCACGACUUCCACCAGCAAGAACAGAGUCUGCAGCAUGGGAGUAAUGACAGGCCUUUCGUUUUCAAUUUGCCUCCAAACACAGCCAGGAUGGCCAAAACAAGAUCUGGGCCACAUAUACCUGAAAUAAUACUGCCGCUAUCACCACCACCUGCACUGACCUCUCUUGCUAAACCAGGGCAGUCAUCUAGACCUCCGCCAGUUAUACUUCUGCUUCUGCUGCAUUUCAGCCUAUAAUGUUUAUUGUAUCACACCACAAACUGUGACACUGCCAGCAGCACCACCAACACCACAGCCUUCUGUACUGUACACCAUGAAGUACUGCAGGAAAGGGAGCAGAUGCCUGAAGUCAAGGAAAUAUGUGCAGAAGACUGAAGUAAUCCUGUGCAUGAAGUGUAACAAGGAGAGGAAACCACCAUCUCUAGUGCAUCUCAUCAGGACCAAGCUGGAGUUUUUGUCAGAUGUCCAGAGUAAUAGUCGUCUAUUAGCAGUACAUGAUUUUUCUAGCUUUAAGUUGCAGUGAGUUAAAAUAGACUUAUAUUGUCCAGUUGUUUGUUCACUUAUAGAUAGACCACCAAAAUAUAACAAACUGAAUUUUCUGAGUUCCUAACUGCAAUUGUACAGUUUUGAGAGGAUUUUAAUACUUGGUGAUUUUAACUUGCAUAUCUGGUGACCCAAAGAGCCCAUGGUGAAAGAGUUUCUACAUCUUAUUGAUUCCUUUAAUUUCACACAGUUUGUCUCAGGUUCUAUUCACAAACUUGGUCAUACUUUGGAUUUGAUAUUAUCAUUAUAUUACUGAAAAGACCACUUUGAAAUUGGCCUUACGGUCUCUUUUUGCAUGUUUUAAUGAUAUUAUAGAAAGGAUGGCAGCAAACUUUCUUCACUUGAAUGAAUCAAAGACCAGAGUGAUAAUGUUUGGCCCUCUGAGUGUCUCUGAACCCAUAAUUAACCAAUUAGGUUCAUUUAAAUCUAAAGUACAUAAUCAUGCAAAGAGUCUUGGAGUCAUUUUUGACGCAGAGUUAAAGUUUGAUUUAGGAAUUAUAAUGAAGGAAUAUAGCAAAAUUGAAACCUUUUCCAUCUUUUAAUGAUUUGGAAGUUGUUAUCCACGCUUUUAUCGUGUCCAGACUGGGAUAUUGUAAUUCCUUGUACAAUGGUGUUGCUCAUGCAACAAUUUCACACCUGCAGCUGGUUCAAAAUGCAGCUGCUAGGCUUCUAACUGGGACUAGGAAGUAUUGGCAUCCCUUCAUUGGCUUCCAGUUAAAUUUAGGAUUCAGUAUAAGUUAUUAUUAUUUGUUUUUAAAGGUUUAAAUGGACUGGCACCAAGUUAUAUUAGUGAACCUCUUCUGCGGCAUACACCAUUCAGGCCCUUUCGAUCUACACAGACUCCAGCUAGGAGGAGACAGGGCCUUUUCUGUCGUAGCUCCAUGUUUAUGGAAUAGUUUACCUCUCCAUGUUUGAUCUUGUGCCACUCUUGGUGUUUUAAAAUUUUAAUUUUAUCUAUUUUUGUGAUGUGUUACUGUGUUCUAUAAUUUUAGACUGUAUGUGUUAUGUCUGAUUUGUAAAGCACUUUGGCCAAAGUCUUCUGUUUUUAAUUGUGCUAUAUAAAUAAAACAGAAUAGAAUCUCAUCUCCAGUAUUUUGGCAAUUGGUACUGUAAGGAGACCAACACCAGGAGGGCAGCACU